GGGUUGGAGAGGAAAACCUUGGCGUUGCCCCAGAGUCUGUCCGCUUCUUGAGUCUGUUCGCUUCUUGAGUCUGUUCAUGGGCUUCAUGAACAUGGAUAACACCUAGACCGUGGCAGUACUGUGGUCGCCCGUGGCCAGAACCCGAUGACCUUCCUCCUGAUGAACUGACGCUACCUCAGUGCCCACCUCACGCCUCUCGCCAUGCAGGGGUUUUCCCAUCUCCCAAGAUCCCAGGAAGAAUGGCCGUAAGGGUUACUCCGCGGAAGCGCUGACUGCACAGGCCCAGUGGAAGGAAUGAAGGUGCUGGAAGUAGAACGGGUGAGGAGAAACCUUCUCACUUAUUAUGGACGAGGGUCUCCUGCUCAGAAAACCCCAGUGGCCCAUGGAGGAACAAGGCAGAACCAGGAUGUUUGGGCCCCGCUGCUGCAUUCGAGGGCCUCUUCCUGGGAGCCCUGCUCCCUCCUCCACCCCACAGGACACCUUCCUUUUCUGUUUUGUUUUGUUUUCCCUCAAGGUCCUGUCUUGGUUUUCAGUGUAGCCCACUUAAGGCCAGUGGGGGUGGCUGGAGAGCAGGAUGGAGCCAGGAUUGUUUACAGCUGUUGGCCUGACUCCUCUGGCCUGACUCCUCUGAGAAGCACCGGUUUCUACUCCCAGCACCAACUCCCUUGUUGCUGAGGUGCUGACUCCGCAUCCUGUGGGUUCCCCGGUGUCCUUGGUCACAGGGAACUGAUGCUCCUUGUCUCUGCUCUCCUUUACUGCCCCGAUGCUGCAGAAACGACAUCUGCAGGGUCAAGGCGGGCCCGUGAAUUAUUAAUGAAAGGGAUCAUUUUACCUGAGUGGAAUUUUUCCCUCCUGACCAUUGUCAUGCUUCCUUUCCAAAUGUCCAUUGGCUGACCGCCGCACCCUUUCUCAAGUCUGUGCUUUAUUUUGGUGAGGAUGUACUUGGGGAACAGAUGAGAAAUGGUACUCUCCCUCAACUGGCGGGGGGAAAAUGUUAAAGCUGUCCCCUGCACACUCUGUGACACAUUGUGUAGGGCUGGGUAUGGACCCCAGGGGAGGGGAUUAUUGAGAAGACUUUGUUCAUUCCAAAAUUUACACAUUUUUCUGCAUUACAUUUUGUGCAAAUAAAAUAUUCACUAUA